CCUACGGGAGGCAGCAGUGGGGAAUAUUGGACAAUGGGCGAAAGCCUGAUCCAGCAAUGCCGCGUGAGUGAUGAAGGCCUUCGGGUCGUAAAGCUCUUUUACCAGGGAUGAUAAUGACAGUACCUGGAGAAUAAGCUCCGGCUAACUCCGUGCCAGCAGCCGCGGUAAUACGGAGGGAGCUAGCGUUGUUCGGAAUUACUGGGCGUAAAGAGUACGUAGGCGGUUAUUCAAGUCAGAGGUGAAAGCCCGGGGCUCAACCCCGGAACUGCCUUUGAAACUAGAUAACUAGAGUCUUGGAGAGGUUAGUGGAAUUCCGAGUGUAGAGGUGAAAUUCGUAGAUAUUCGGAAGAACACCAGUGGCGAAGGCGACUAACUGGACAAGUACUGGCGCUGAGGUACGAAAGCGUGGGGAGCAAACAGGAUUAGAUACCCUGGUAGUCCACGCCGUAAACGAUGAUAACUAGUUGUUCGGUCACUUGGUGACUGAGUGACGCAGCUAACGCAUUAAGUUAUCCGCCUGGGGAGUACGGUCGCAAGAUUAAAACUCAAAAUGAAAUUGACGG
rnacentral:rRNA from 1 species